rnacentral:rRNA from 1 species
UGUGUGUUACAAGUGUCACACGGUACUGCCGGUCUUAAGCCGGAGGAAGGUGGGGAUGACGUCAAGUCAGCAUGGCCUUUAUGUCCUGGGCUACACACACGCUACAAUGGCCAACACAAUAGGUUGCUAAGCCGCGAGGUGGAGCCAAUCCUCAAAGUUGGUCUCAGUUCAGAUUGCAGGCUGCAACCCGCCUGCAUGAAGAUGGAGUUGCUAGUAACCGCAGGUCAGCUAUACUGCGGUGAAUACGUUCCCGGGGCUU